rnacentral:tRNA from 1 species
AAUUUUUAGGAUAAUAGUUUAAAAAACAUUUGAUUUGCAUUCAAAAAAUAUUAACUAUUUUA